rnacentral:rRNA from 1 species
GAUGAACGCUGGCGGCGUGCUUAACACAUGCAAGUCGAACGAUGAAGCCCAGCUUGCUGGGUGGAUUAGUGGCGAACGGGUGAGUAACACGUGAGUAACCUGCCCUUAACUCUGGGAUAAGCCUGGGAAACUGGGUCUAAUACCGGAUAGGAGCGCCUACCGCAUGGUGGGUGUUGGAAAGAUUUAUCGGUUUUGGAUGGACUCGCGGCCUAUCAGCUUGUUGGUGAGGUAAUGGCUCACCAAGGCGACGACGGGUAGCCGGCCUGAGAGGGUGACCGGCCACACUGGGACUGAGACACGUCCCAGACUCCUACGGGAGGCAGCAGUGGGGAAUAUUGCACAAUGGGCGCAAGCCUGAUGCAGCGACGCCGCGUGAGGGAUGACGGCCUUCGGGUUGUAAACCUCUUUCAGUAGGGAAGAAGCGAAAGUGACGGUACCUGCAGAAGAAGCACCGGCUAACUACGUG